GACGAACGCUGGCGGCGUGCUUAACACAUGCAAGUCGAACGGUGAAGCGCCUUCCUUUUUGGUGGGUGUGGAUGAGUGGCGAACGGGUGAGUAACACGUGAGUAACCUGCCCCCUUCUUCUGGAUAACCGCAUGAAAGUGUGGCUAAUACGGGAUAUUCUGGGUCUGUCGCAUGAUGGGUCUGGGAAAGAUAUUGUUUCGGUGGGGGAUGGGCUCGCGGCUUAUCAGCUUGUUGGUGGGGUGAUGGCCUACCAAGGCGGUGACGGGUAGCCGGCCUGAGAGGGUGGACGGUCAUACUGGGACUGAGACACGGCCCAGACUCCGACGGGCGGCAGCAGUGGGGAAUAUUGAACAAUGGGCGCAAGCCUGAUGCAGCGACGCCGCGGGAGGGAUGGAGGCCUUCGGGUUGUGAACCUCUUUCGCCAGUGAAGCAGGCCUGCCGCGUUUGUGGGUGGGUUGACGGUAGCUAGACAAGAAGCGCCGGCUAACUACGUG
rnacentral:rRNA from 1 species